rnacentral:lncRNA from 1 species
AUGGCUGCUUCAGUUACAAUGGUGGUUUCUUCUUCGCUAAGAUGUGAUUCCCCACCACGGUGCCUCGGUUCUGCUCUGAAUAGAAAAAACAGAAGGAGGACAGUUGUUGGGUAUCCAGGCUUUGGUGCUGCUGCUUCUCUCAAGUGCUUCUCGUGGUGGAGCGAGCAGAGGGCCGUUAUGGAACUGGGAGCUAACCACAAGCAGGGGCUGUGUGAAUGAGCAGUCCUUUGGUUCAAGUUGCUGGAGAAAAUUUAGUUUAACAUCAGCACUUAAGGGCAUGAGUUUCAACAAAAAGAACUGUGGUGGGUGUGGGUGUGUGAGGGGCGUAGCGCACGGGAGUGCCAGAAAGGUCCUAGAAGUGGCUGGGAACGUAAGAACACAUUUAUCUUCCCCCUCUCGUUCUCCAAAAAAAAUAAUGUAAUGGUGACUUUUCAGGCCUGCUAUUGGUGGCGUCUGUAUUCCCACAAGGAACGCUGAUUUCUGGGUCUCAUAUUUUGUGUGUAGAUUUAAUCUAAACAGUUCUGAGGAUGUGUGGCAUGGAAAUGUUCACCAAACUUGUGUCUGUUCCCAUGUAAAUUACAUCCAACUGUAUGUUACUUUAUGUAUUUUGGAAAAGCGCGGUUACAGGCAGCAGCUCCUAAUGUUCUGUAAUGUGAUUACGUUUGGGAAAACUACAGCUAUGCUGAUCUGUUCCCCUCUUCCUUUCGCGCAUUCACAUUGGUUUUUUAAAGAAAAAUUCUCAAAUCCUGGAAGUAAAACUACAUGACAGCUGUGGUGUUGGCAGCUCGCUGUAACCUUGGCCGUAUGUAUCACUGAAAUUGUACUGGUUUCUAAAGUUCAGUUAUUGCAACCAUUCAUGGAUAUUGGCCUGCUUUAGUUCAGUGACUCUUCUGGUGAAGGACAGGAACAUCAAAGGUAAUUUUGGGCGAGUCCCUGAGAACAGCUGGCAAGACUGAGAGCAGCAGCGCAUCCAAGAGCUUUGCGUGUAGAAAAUGGGACUUGUUUUACCUUAAAUACGAGGUCUGGAAUAAACUUGAAUGAUUUGGGUACA